rnacentral:rRNA from 1 species
CCUACGGGGGGCAGCAGUGAGGAAUAUUGGUCAAUGGCCGUAAGGCUGAACCAGCCAAGUCGCGUGAAGGACGAAGGUUCUAUGCUUUGUAAACUUCUUUUGUCAUGGGAUAAAAGUAUCCACGUGUGGCUGUUUGCAUGUACCCUAUGAAUAAGCAUCGGCUAACUCCGUGCCAGCAGCCGCGGUAAUACGGAGGAUGCGAAGGUUAUCCGGAUUUAUUGGGUUUAAAGGGUGCGUAGGUUGGUUUUUAAGUCGGCGGUGAAAGUUUGUGGCUCAAACACAACAUUGCCGUGGACACUGGAAGACUUGAGUGUGGGUGAGGUAGGCGGAAUGCGUGGUGUAGCGGUGAAAUGCAUAGAUAUCGCGCAGAACUCCGAUUGCGAAGGCAGCUUAC